rnacentral:rRNA from 1 species
CCGGCACGGGUGAGUAACGCGUAUGCAACUUGCCUAUCAGAGGGGGAUAACCCGGCGAAAGUCGGACUAAUACCGCAUGAAGCAGGGAUCCCGCAUGGGAAUAUUUGCUAAAGAUUCAUCGCUGAUAGAUAGGCAUGCGUUCCAUUAGGCAGUUGGCGGGGUAACGGCCCACCAAACCGACGAUGGAUAGGGGUUCUGAGAGGAAGGUCCCCCACAUUGGACUGAGACACGGCCAA